GAUGCGGAUGGAUCAUGGACAUCAGCGGCUCGAAGCCGUCAUAGGAAAUGCCGAUGGUGCCGACCUUGCCGUUCGACUCGGAAACGUUUUUC
rnacentral:tRNA from 1 species